rnacentral:rRNA from 1 species
AUUGAACGCUGGCGGCAUGCCUUACACAUGCAAGUCGAACGGUAACAGGUCUUCGGAUGCUGACGAGUGGCGAACGGGUGAGUAAUACAUCGGAACGUGCCCGAUCGUGGGGGAUAACGAAGCGAAAGCUUUGCUAAUACCGCAUAAGAUCUACGGAUGAAAGCAGGGGACCGCAAGGCCUUGCGCGAACGGAGCGGCCGAUGGCAGAUUAGGUAGUUGGUGGGAUAAAAGCUUACCAAGCCGACGAUCUGUAGCUGGUCUGAGAGGACGACCGGCCACACUGGGACUGAGACACGGCCCAGACUCCUACGGGAGGCAGCAGGGGGGAAUUUUGGACAAUGGGCGAAAGCCUGAUCCAGCCAUGCCGCGUGCAGGAUGAAGGCCUUCGGGUUGUAAACUGCUUUUGUACGGAACGAAAAGACUCUUUCUAAUAAAGAGGGUCCAUGACGGUACCGUAAGAAUAAGCACCGGCUAACUACGUGCCAGCCGCCGCAGUAAAAC